rnacentral:lncRNA from 1 species
AAUGCUCUCCUUAUCAAAUGUCAUUUCCUCAUGUCCUUUAUACACCCACAUCCACUCCAUGCAUGAAACAUGCAUAUAUAUAAUUAUCUUCGGUUCUUAAUUCUUAUGACCCCAUGCUCACCACCACCAUAGCUUAGACAUGGCGCUAUAUAAACUUUCACAUACAAUGAAGCUAUACAAAUUUAAGGGUUUUUAGCUACCCUGAUAUUUAGAACCACCUAUAUAGUGCAAAAAAUUGGGGAUGAGUAAUUCCACUGGCCUCGAACUUUUCACUUUAGAGUAUUUGUAGGAACCAUCAUCCUCACCCAUAAUUCACAAACACUCAAGUUCACAUUUUCUGAAAAGGAGAGGCAUCUACUUCAUUAGGUAAAUCCGUGGUUCCACUUCCACAUGUUGAAAGUAGAAUAGAAGAUGAUGAAAGAGGAGGGUGGGUGGUGUGGUGAAAAACAAAAACAAAAAAAUCAAGUAGAACCAUGAGUAAUUCAAUAAUGGUGGUCCCGACGAAAGAUGAUGACACAUUAGGAGUGGUGAAUUGAGAAAGGAAAACACGUGGGGGAACAUGCAGAUGCUCCCAAGUCCCAACGCCAACAGAUGAAAGGCAGAGCCAGGUAGGAAAAUUGAACACUUUAGCUCUUUUGUUGACCCCAACAAAUCGACGGUAAUGAAGAUGAUGAUCCAAGUGGGAAGAUUCUCGUGUCAGAAGAUCAUCUCCCGGGGAGCCACUGAUGGGAACUAUCCAUGUCUUUGUUAGAAGGUAGUUCCAGAAACAUGGCCGUUAGUACAGGUUAACGACCAAUCACCCCGCCAUGCCUGGGUCCCUUUGAUUCCUUCAAAACCAUCAAAUCUCAACUACCAUUUCCUCAUGCACACACAUAAUGCUCUACCAAAACAUCUUUUUUUUACCAUGCAAAAAAAAAAAAAAAAGAAGGGGUUUUUGCUGCAAUUGGGCUCAUGCGUGCAUGUUAUUGUAAUAUGGUGCAGAUGGGACCAUAGGAGCUCCGCGGUUACGCCGGAUGAGGAUGUGUUUUACCUGGUGGCAUUGCUAAGAUCAGCCUUGGAUAAUGGGGAGGAAACCCAUAGCCUGGAGUACCUAACCAAUCAGAACCGUCAGAUUCUCAGAUUCUGUGAUGAAGCUGGGAUCACAGUGAAGCAGUAUUUACCUCAUUACACAACACAUCAAGAGUGGGUGGACCACUUUGGAAAUAAGUGGGAUCGGUUCUAUCGAUUGAAAAUGGAAUUUGACCCUAGGCACAUUUUGGCUUCAGGCCAACAGAUUUUCACACCCACCAAUAUGGCUUCAUGGCAAUG